rnacentral:rRNA from 1 species
GCAGUGAGGAAUAUUGGUCAAUGGGCGCAAGCCUGAACCAGCCAUGCCGCGUGCAGGAUGAAGCAUCUAUGGUGUGUAAACUGCUUUUGUACGGGAAGAAACCAUCGCUCGUGAGCGAUAUUGACGGUACCGUAAGAAUAAGGAUCGGCUAACUCCGUGCCAGCAGCCGCGGUAAUACGGAGGAUCCAAGCGUUAUCCGGAAUCAUUGGGUUUAAAGGGUCCGUAGGCGGUUUUAUAAGUCAGUGGUGAAAUCUGGUCGCUCAACGAUCAAACGGCCAUUGAUACUGUAAGACUUGAAUAAUUGUGAAGUAACUAGAAUAUGUAGUGUAGCGGUGAAAUGCUUAGAGAUUACAUGGAAUACCAAUUGCGAAGGCAGGUUACUAACAAUUCAUUGACGCUGAUGGACGAAAGCGUGGGGAGCGAACAGGAUUAGA